AUUUAACGCUGGCGGCAUGCCUUACACAUGCAAGUCGAACGGUAACGGGCCUUCGGGUGCCGACGAGUGGCGCACGGGUGAGUAAUACAUCGGAACGUGCCCGAUCGUGGGGGAUAACGAGGCGAAAGCUUUGCUAAUACCGCAUACGAUCUACGUAUGAAACCCGUGGACCUCAAGGCCUAGCGUGGAUGGAGCGGCCCAUGGCAGAUUAGGUAGUUGGUGGGAUAAAAGCUUACCAAGCCGACGAUCUGUAGCUGGUCUGAGAGGAUGAUCCGCCACACUGGGACUGAGACACGGCCCAGACUCCUACGGGAGGCAGCAGUGGGGAAUUUUGGACAAAGGGCGCAAGCCUGAUCCAGCCAUGCCGCGUGCAGGAUGAAGGCCUUCGGGUUGUAAACUGCUUUUGUACGGAACGAAAAGCCUUCUUUUAAUACAGGAGGGUCAUGACGGUACCGUAAGAAUAAGCACCGGCUAACUACGUG
rnacentral:rRNA from 1 species